AAUUUGGCAAACCUGUCGAAAGGCAGGGACGCAAAGUUGAGCGUCUAAACGGAAUACCGCAUGACAGGCUGACUG
rnacentral:ncRNA from 1 species